UGAGGAAUAUUGGUCAAUGGACGAGAGUCUGAACCAGCCAAGUAGCGUGCAGGAUGACGGCCCUAUGGGUUGUAAACUGCUUUUGUUUGGGAAUAAUCGACAUUACGUGUAAUGUUUUGCAUGUACCAUUCGAAUAAGGACCGGCUAAUUCCGUGCCAGCAGCCGCGGUAAUACGGAAGGUCCAGGCGUUAUCCGGAUUUAUUGGGUUUAAAGGGAGUGUAGGCGGUUGGUUAAGCGUGUUGUGAAAUGUAGAUGCUCAACAUCUGACUUGCAGCGCGAACUGGCUGACUUGAGUACACACAACGUAGGCGGAAUUCAUGGUGUAGCGGUGAAAUGCUUAGAUAUCAUGAAGAGCUCCGAUUGCGAAGGCAGCUUACGGGAGUGUUACUGACGCUUAAGCUCGAAGGUGCGGGUAUCGAACAGG
rnacentral:rRNA from 1 species